AAAUUGAAGAGUUUGAUCAUGGCUCAGAUUGAACGCUGGCGGCAGGCCUAACACAUGCAAGUCGAGCGGUAACACAGAGGAGCUUGCUCCUUGGGUGACGAGCGGCGGACGGGUGAGUAAUGUCUGGGGAUCUGCCCGAUAGAGGGGGAUAACUACGGGAAACUGUAGCUAAUACCGCAUAACGUCUACGGACCAAA
rnacentral:rRNA from 1 species